AGCCUUUCCAGGUCAUCUUGAAAAAGGAUGGAUAAACUUUAUCGAAAAAGGUUAGGAAAGCAGGUGCUCUUAUUGGACGUCACGGGAGAAAUCCCGAUGGCUGAGAGGGUCAUACCCUUCCGAGCUGUGGAGCGUACCAACUUCACUUUGAUUAACAUCGAGUUGUAUGUUUCGCUGCUGUCUAAUGAGGCGCAGCAUCGGUCUGGACUCUGGACGGCCUGUCCAAGGGACUGGAACCCAAGGCUCUUCUUAGUCUAACAUGAUUGUUGUAACCUCGGCGGGUUGCUCAUUG
rnacentral:lncRNA from 1 species